GACGAACGCUGGCGGCGUGCCUAACACAUGCAAGUUGAGCGACGAACCAGGGCUUGCCCCGGGGCAAAGCAGCGAACGGGUGAGUAACACGUGGGUACCCUACCCCGAUAACCGGGACAACCCGAGGAAACUCGGGCUAAUACCGGAUGUGCUCACUGGACUUCGGUUCAGUGCGUAAAGGAAGCUUCGGCCUCCGUAUCGGGAGGGGCCCGCGGCCCAUUAGUUUGUUGGUGAGGUAACGGCUCACCAAGACCGCGAUGGGUAGCUGGUCUGAGAGGACGAUCAGCCACACUGGGACUGAGACACGGCCCAGACUCCUACGGGAGGCAGCAGUGGGGAAUCUUGCGCAAUGCGCGAAAGCGUGACGCAGCAACGCCGCGUGGGGGAAGAAGGCCCUCGGGUUGUAAACCCCUUUCAGGAGGGACGAAGGUUCGGCAGUUAACAGCUGUCCGGACUGACGGUACCUCCACAAGAAGCCCCGGCUAACUACGUGCCAGCCGCCGCCGUAA
rnacentral:rRNA from 1 species